ACAAUGGCUUUAUAUCACACUGUUAUCAUCCUAAUUAUUGUUGUAAUUGUAUUAAAUCUGUCUACAUUACUUAGAAAAUAUUGUUAGUUAGCGGGCUGAUAAGAUGAGAACUUCACUUAUUUAUAUUUUACACUGUUUUCAAUCAAGCGCUGGAAUUUCUGACUUCCCGUGAACUCACCACAGCGUUUCUACGAGGCCCUCGCGCUGCGCUCCCUCCUCCCCUUUUGCUGGCUUCGUCAGACGACUAGAGAGAAACUCCUGGUGGUUGAUCGACUGUUUGGCUGAGAGAUUGUUGGCUGCUUCCUGUGCUUCUGCUGCGACCCAGAGAGACCGGGGUUCAGGAUUCCUGCUCGUCUGGUGUCCUGGUGUCCUCCACCUCUCUUUACCCCUCCCCCCUCUACCUCUAUCAUUUUUGGACAUCUAUCAUUCCUGUCACUCUAGUGUAUAUCUAUCUAAUUUUUGGACAUUCUAUCUUGUAUCAAUCUAUCCUCAUCUAUCUUUAGCACUUAAGGUGGUGCGCCAUUUUGGGGUUGGACCUUCAGAUACCAGAGUUUGGGCAACAUUUUGGGAAAAGUUUUCUGGACAAAGUUUUAUGGGAACCCGGUUUUGGACAAAGAUUUUUGUGUGAUCCUGUUAAGAUCUACCUGUUCUGAUCUGAGAGCGUCUCUGCCCUCGCACUCUAUCUCUGCUGUUUUGUCCUAUCCUGCAAGUUCCUGGAGUGUGUUAAUUUUCAGUAAAUCAGCUGUUUCAGCUCCUGUGCAGCUGCCACUGGACUCACUGCAGGUUUGUUAAAGUCUUGCUAUAAAAGACCACAUCCAGCAUUGGAGAAGCAGUCUGCUGUCUGUCCUGAGCUGAACUGACGAGAGGAAUCCAGAGAACAGAAACCAUCUUCAUCCCACCACCGUCACAGUUGCUGCUGCGUUCCACAUUUGCUCAAAAAACUCGAUAUAAAGCAGUUGCAGAUACAGUUCUGUCUUGGCAAAGCUAAGAGUAGCAUAAAACUAAAUAAGUAAUCUGAGGUAACUGAUCACUAUAUAUAUUUCUGUGUAUUGAAUAAUUGUAAAAUCUAGUUAUAAAUUGGCUCCUGAGAAAUACUGAUUUUCAGUAUCUGAUAUUUUCUGUCUCCUGGUAAGCGUUACUGGUUUAGUUUAACAGAUUCUAGCUUAUUCAUCUCAUUCAGAAUAAUUUUUGAAGAUAUAAGGACAGAUAUUGGUUAAUUUACAGUUUGAACAGUAAAUAUUUUAGGUGCGUUCUUGCUUAACCACUUGCAGUGAUUACAUUUCCCUUUAAGAGUUGGUAUCAGAUUAAUUUCACGUGAAAACCUAGUUGAUUAUUCACACCCAUAAACUUUAUACCACAACUGUUUUAAUAGUUUUGGGUCAACUGAUAAAAUACUAGCCGACUGUGAAGCCUGAACAUUAUAUUUACUGGUAUAAUUUUUGAAUAAAUACUGAGAGAAACCUUUCAGUAUAUUGCAAGUAGCACAAGUGGUUGAAAAUAAAACCUGAAUAUUUA